AAGUUAAGGUGUCAAUUUCAUACCUACUGUCACUCUUUGGAACAUAACAUAUGUUUACAAAGAACAACAAAGAAUCAGAGAUUAGGAUUGGAGAGAAUAUUUUUUCAAAUGCAUUUUUUAUAUACUAUUUGAUGAAUUUGGAGUUCGGAUGAAGAAGUAACAGAGAGUUGAAGUCAAUGUAUUCAAACCAAAGGUACUAAGUAAGUGAUUUUAUUCACAGUAAUGGUUGGAGCCAUAUCUUAAGUUUUUGGACGAAUUUUUUGCUUAAACCUUUUAAAGAAGGUAGAUUAUUGUGUUAAAAAACUAUAUAUAUAUAAAUUUUGUG
rnacentral:lncRNA from 1 species